rnacentral:rRNA from 1 species
CCCGCACGCCGGAAGACCAAGGGUUCCUGUCCAACGUUAAUCGGGGCAGGGUGAGUCGACCCCUAAGGCGAGGCUGAAAAGCGUAGUCGAUGGGAAACAGGUUAAUAUUCCUGUACUUGGUGUUACUGCGAAGGGGGGACGGAGAAGGCUAGGCUGGCCGGGCGACGGUUGUCCCGGUUUAAGCGUGUAGGGGGAGUGACCAGGUAAAUCCGGUUGCUUAUCAACCCUGAGGCGUGAUGACGAUGCACCACGGUGCAGAAGCAGUUGAUGCCAUGCUUCCAGGAAAAGCCUCUAAGCAUCAGGUAACAUUAAAUCGUACCCCAAACCGACACAGGUGGUCAGGUAGAGAAUACUCAGGCGCUUGAGAGAACUCGGGUGAAGGAACUAGGCAAAAUGGUGCCGUAACUUCGGGAGAAGGCACGCUGGCGUUAGGUGAAAGGACUAGCUCCUGGAGCUGAAGCCAGUCGCAGAUACCAGCUGGCUGCAACUGUUUAAUAAAAACACAGCACUGUGCAAACACGAAAGUGGACGUAUACGGUGUGACGCCUGCCCGGUGCUGGAAGGUUAAUUGAUGGGGUCAGCCGCAAGGGGAAGCUCUUGAUCGAAGCCCCAGUAAACGGCGGCCGUAACUAUAACGGUCCUAAGGUAGCGAAAUUCCUUGUCGGGUAAGUUCCGACCUGCACGAAUGGCGUAAUGAUGGCCAGGCUGUCUCCACCCGAGACUCAGUGAAAUUGAACUCGCUGUGAAGAUGCAGUGUACCCGCGGCAAGACGGAAAGACCCCGUGAACCUUUACUAUAGCUUGACACUGAACAUUGAGCCUUGAUGUGUAGGAUAGGUGGGAGGCCUUGAAGUGUGGACGCCAGUCUGCAUGGAGCCAACCUUGAAAUACCACCCUUUAAUGUUUGAUGUUCUAACUCGGCCCCAUGAUCUGGGGUGAGGACAGUGUCUGGUGGGUAGUUUGACUGGGGCGGUCUCCUCCCAAAGAGUAACGGAGGAGCACGAAGGUUAGCUAAUCACGGUCGGACAUCGUGAGGUUAGUGCAAAGGCAUAAGCUAGCUUGACUGCGAGAGUGACGGCUCGAGCAGGUACGAAAGUAGGUCUUAGUGAUCCGGUGGUUCUGAAUGGAAGGGCCAUCGCUCAACGGAUAAAAGGUACUCCGGGGAUAACAGGCUGAUACCGCCCAAGAGUUCAUAUCGACGGCGGUGUUUGGCACCUCGAUGUCGGCUCAUCACAUCCUGGGGCUGAAGUAGGUCCCAAGGGUAUGGCUGUUCGCCAUUUAAAGUGGUACGCGAGCUGGGUUUAGAACGUCGUGAGACAGUUCGGUCCCUAUCUGCCGUGGGCGUUGGAAGAUUGAGAGGGGCUGCUCCUAGUACGAGAGGACCGGAGUGGACGAAUCACUGGUGUUCGGGUUGUCAUGCCAAUGGCAUUGCCCGGUAGCUAAAUUCGGAAGAGAUAACCGCUGAAAGCAUCUAAGCGGGAAACUUGCCUCGAGAUGAGUCUUCCCUGGGGCUUAAAGCCCCCUGAAGGAACGUUAAAGACUAUGACGUUGAUAGGCUGGGUGUGUAAGUGCAGCGAUGUAUUGAGCUAACCAGUACUAAUGAUCCGUGAGGCUUAACCUU